UCGUAUCGGUCGGUACUGCUGGUCUGAGAUUGUGAGAUACGGUGCGGUGUAAUAUAAAAAUUUCCAGUAGCCUAAUUUGCAUUGUGGACUAAAGUGAGAACUUGGUAAUGAACUAUCAAAUCCGUAAUAGCAAAGUUUUCUUUUUUAUCAAUUGCCCAAUCGUAUUACCUGUUUCCCCUCCCCUUACACGUGGUUGAAACUUUUCAAAGGAAGGAACUGUCCGAAACAACCCGUUAUUAACAGAUCACAUUGGUGCAAGAAUUGAGGCAUGUGUAGUUUUACCUGAAUUGGAUAUAUCUCUAAGCUGGGAAUAAGAGUGCUACAAGAUUAUUUUUUUCUGUUUGUCCAACAGAAAAAUCUAAGAUGUUCAAGUGCAGUGUGACAGUUGAAGAUGCCUCUGUUUACGAAGAAUCCAGCAAUGAAAACAUACUCCAUCUCAGCAGCCACACCUACCUACAUAAACUUCUAAACACUGUGUUUUCCCUGAAAUAACAAGAAUUCCAGUCUACAUGGGAAUCAACAUGUGUCAUAUUUCCAUGUUCUGCAACAAAGAUCAUUUCACUGCUGAAGAAAAGUGCCAAUCACUGAGAAGAACGUCAACCUUGGUGUACCUUAAACAAAUACAUGGUUGUCUACAGGCAGCCUAGUUUUCACCACUGGAAUCUUUUGGUUACGACCGACAGGGGCGCAAGUACUGGUCUCUUCCAUACGCAUCAUUGUCAAAGAAGCUGGCAGCCAGGAAGAACAUAUUUGACGAUGACGAAGGAACUGUUGCCGAGGAGGUCCUUAAGACUACGUUGGGCAGGAUACAUGAAGACCAUUGUACCCAAGCAAUCCUCUUGACCUCAGUAAGGACUAGGCGCCAAUAAGGAGAGACCCCGCAAAUGUUACUUGUCGCAUAAGUUCUCCGUUGCCCAAACGUUAUCACGUCCAUUAUGCCAUAGGCCUUAAACACCAGAAACACCAAGGGUAUGAAAUUCAUCUAAAGUUACUGUCAAUUGAGUUCGACCGUAUCACGGAGUGAAGCAUCUAGCCCGAUGUCAUUCAAGAUUUCCAUCACGGCCCCAAGAAUUCAUAGGAAUUCAAAUGGAAAGAAUUCAAUGAAUUCAUAGGAGGAAACGUGAAAGGGUCGUGGCCGUCGUGCAGCCUAACGUCAACUAUUUUGUUCUAAAUCAUUGUAUUCUACUGAUUGUACCAUGGAAAUUAUACAGGUUUCGCGUUUAUGUUCGCGUAAUUGCUGUCCGAUGUGGCACGUUGUUGCAGCCUAUGCUGGUGAAAGAUCUUUCUACAUCAAAUUCAAUUAGCCGUUCCUUGGUGCUGAUUUCGUGUUACCGAAGUUGCAUCAUAUUUUGUUAAAUUGUCAUCGUAACUAUGCAGUUCACCGUUUAUAAGUUCAGAAGCAACAAAAACAAAGAUGGGAUGUUUAUGUCAACAAAUAAUAAACAUGUUUCCGGGAUUGGGAAAGGAAAGUGGAGGGGAGAGAGAGGAUAUUUCAAGUAUGGAUAAAAAUUCCGUUAAUCUAUAAAACUAUAACCCUACAAACGUAUCCCUACCAACUAAUCUCCAAACCCCACAAACAUUUACCUUCCGAUUCUUCAAACCCCGAAAACAUACACCUACCAACCCUUGAAUUUAUACCCUUAACCCUA